rnacentral:lncRNA from 1 species
GUGCAGUGGCACAAUCUCGGCUCACUGCAACCUUGGCCUCUUGGGUUCAAGCGAUUCUCCUGCCUCAGCCUCCCAAGUAACUGGGAUUAUAGGCACCCGCCACCACACUUGGCUAAUUUUUGUACUUUUAGUAGAGAUGGGGUUUCACCAUGUUGGCCAGGCUGGUCUCAAACUCCUGACCUCAGGUGAUCUGCCUGCCUCAGCCUCUAAAAGUGCUGGGAUUACAGGCAUGAGCCACCGCUCCCGGCCGAGGCCAGGUAUUUGAGACCAGCCUGGACAACACCGUGAGACCAUGUCUCUACAAAAAAAAAAAAAAAAAAAAAUUAUAAAUAAGCUGGGCACAUUGGUGGACACACAUAGUACCAGCUACAUGAGAGGCUGAGGCAGGAGAGUUACUUGAGCCCAGGAGUUUGAGGCUGCAGAGAGCUAGGAUUGUGCCACUGUACUCCAGCUUGGGUGACACAGUGAGACCCUGUCUUGGAAUGUGUUCUAAGGGUGUUCAUUAGCUAAUGGAGAAGGGCUUAGAAGAGUGAAGGAGAAGAACCUAGAGCUGUCCCUGAUACUUCUUUCUUUGGCGUCCCUUCUCUCCCUCAAAAGCUUUGGGCUUUCUCUCUAAGGGAACCUGCCUUGGCCUGGACUGAGAAGACACAGAAGCAGGCAGCUGAGUGAUGGUGGGAAAGGCAUUUGACCUUGC